GACUCUCGGCAACGGAUAUCUUGGCUCUCGCAUCGAUGAAGAACGUAGCGAAAUGCGAUACUUGGUGUGAAUUGCAGAAUCCCGUGAAUCAUCGAGUCUUUGAACGCAAGUUGCGCCCUAGGCCGUCAGGCCGAGGGCACGCCUGCCUGGGCGUCACGCACCGAGUCGCCCCCACUCUCGUGGGAGCGGAUAUUGGCUCCCCGUGCCCCGGCGCGGUCGGCCUAAACAAGGGCCCCGGGAGGCCAGCGUCACGAUCCGUGGUGGUUGUAAAAGACACGCCUGGAACCGGAUCACGUGGCGCUCGAGCCGUCCCCCGGGCCAUCGGGACCCCACAGGGCCGUCUCCGGACGGCACCCACUCU
rnacentral:misc_RNA from 1 species